rnacentral:rRNA from 1 species
AUACGGAGGGUGCAAGCGUUAAUCGGAAUUACUGGGCGUAAAGCGUACGUAGGCGGUUUAUUAAGUCAGAUGUGAAAGCCCCGGGCUUAACCUGGGAACUGCAUUUGAAACUAGUAGACUAGAGUAUGGUAGAGGGGGGUAGAAUUCCUAGUGUAGCGGUGAAAUGCGUAGAUAUUAGGAGGAAUACCAGUGGCGAAGGCGGCCCCCUGGACCAAUACUGACGCUGGGGUACGAAAGCGUGGGGAGCGAACAGGAUUAGAAACCCCAGUAGUCC